GACGAACGCUGGCGGCGUGCUUAACACAUGCAAGUCGAACGAAGAGCGAUGGAAGCUUGCUUCUAUCAAUCUUAGUGGCGAACGGGUGAGUAACGCGUAAUCAACCUGCCCUUCAGAGGGGGACAACAGUUGGAAACGACUGCUAAUACCGCAUACGAUCUGACCUCGGCAUCGAGGAUAGAUGAAAGGUGGCCUCUACAUGUAAGCUAUCACUGAAGGAGGGGAUUGCGUCUGAUGAGCUAGUUGGAGGGGUAACGGCCCACCAAGGCGAUGAUCAGUAGCCGGUCUGAGAGGAUGAACGGCCACAUUGGGACUGAGACACGGCCCAGACUCCUACGGGAGGCAGCAGUGGGGAAUCUUCCGCAAUGGACGAAAGUCUGACGGAGCAACGCCGCGUGAGUGAUGACGGCCUUCGGGUUGUAAAGCUCUGUUAAUCGGGACGAAAGGCCUUUUUGCGAAUAGUGAGAAGGAUUGACGGUACCGGAAUAGAAAGCCACGGCUAACUACGUG
rnacentral:rRNA from 1 species